rnacentral:misc_RNA from 1 species
AGACAUUCCAACAGGGACCUUGAUGUGCUUCUCUUCUCCAUCCUUGUCAACAAAUGUUACAGAUAUUGUUUGCUUUUCCUCAUUCCCUGUAGUAGUGCAAUAUUCUUUAUGCCCCAGGCCCAACAAAAUUUGGUAUCUCGACAAGGGUCCAUAUGAUGUCCCUGGGUUGCAGGGUGAUGUGGCGUUUGAACAAUUGGAUGGAAACAAAUCCCUAAUUCGAUUCUUCGCCGCAGUGUUGUAACUCCUUGAACCCACUUUCAAUAAUGAUACAUGCGCCGCAGAAGCAGAAUCAUGAAGAAGAAGGGCAGAGAUAGAAGAACGAGUGAGCCGAUGGGCCAGUCGGCGAACAUGGAAGCCGACCAUUUUGGAGAGGGAGGGGAGGUCACCGGCCGGAGAAGAAUGAAAAACGG